rnacentral:rRNA from 1 species
AUGGGCACUGCUGGGAGUCGUUGGGGUGUUGUCAUGUCGAGGAAUGCAGGAUACUCCUACCAGGUUGUUGAGUUAGAUUUCCUGUAUCCAAGUGAAGGACUCCGUCGGCAGUAUGACGCCGGUUACAGAAUAACCUCAUGUGCAGCAACGCCUGACCAGGCCGCUUUUAUCAUGAGCAGAGCCAAGAAGCCCAAGAAGAAACCGAUGGACGAAACACUUCUAACUUCUGCUUUCCCUUGCAAGGCUAUAAAGGAGCAAUGGGCAAAGAACCUAUACGUCGCCUCGAUCUGCCACGGGCGAACUGCGUGUUGA